rnacentral:rRNA from 1 species
GAUGAACGCUGGCGGCGUGCCUAAUACAUGCAAGUCGAGCGAAAAGGCCAGGAGCUUGUGCCGUGCUCGUUUGGCGCGGGCGGGUGUGUAACACGUGUAUAAUCCACCUAAAAGAGGGGGAUAACUUCGGGAAACCGGAUCUUAUACCGGAGGAGAUAUUGAACCGUAGUGGUGAAUAGAGAAAGACGGCGGUUGUGGCUGGUAUAGAGGGAUCCGCGCCGGAUUAGCUAGUUGUUGAGGUAACGGCUUACCAAGGCAACGAUGCGUAGCCGACCGGAGGGGGUGAUCGGCCACACUGGAACUGAGCCACGGUCCAGACUCCUACGGGAGGCAGCAGUAGGGAAUCUUCCGCAAUGGGCGAAAGCCUGACGGAGCAACGCCGCGUGAGUGAUGACGGUCUUCGGAUCGUAAAACUCUGUUAUUAGGGAAGAACAACUGUGUAAGUAACUAUGCACGUCUUGACGGUACCUAAUCAGAAAGCCACGGCUAACUACGUG